CAGGAGACUGAGGUUGCUGGGUCCAGCAUAAUGACAGCAAGAUCUUCCACAAGCAAGCUCUUCCACAAGCAGAGCUUUUCUGAUUAAUAUAUUGUGUGCAAAAAAUAUACAGCAAAUUGGGUAAGAAACUUCAACAGCCAGUUGCUCCAAGGGGACUUCCAAAUAAGAGCAUCCUCAGAAAUUACCCUGCAUACAUGUGCUCUGUUCUCCAAUGACAGACCAGCUCCAAAAAAGGCCUUGGUUCAAGCUGUUGAUCCAAUACCGCCAAAUCUUUGUUCACUGUAAGUAGCUUGCAGUGGAAAUCUAACAUUCAACUGGAAUAACUUGGAUUUCCCCCCUGCUCAGUAGUGUGAACUACAUAGCUACAUGGGAACUGAAUGAACUUUAUUAAGAAAAGGAA